rnacentral:tRNA from 1 species
GCCGUUGUAGCUCAGCUGGUAGAGCACCACCAUGGUAAGGUGGGGGUCACCGGUUCAAUCCCGGUCAACGGCUCAA